UCAUCCCUCUCUUUCUUUCAUUUUCCACUGCUUUUUUUUUUCCUCAGAUUAUAUCACUACCUUGACUCUCCAUCUCCCUACUUCACACCCUCCGAAAUACUUGAAUCAAUGCUGUUGCUGCUACUCCGAUGACAUCAUUGUACGUCUUUACUCUCCAUCUCCCUACUUCACACCCUCAUAUGACAUCACUGUCUUCAACCUCCAUCUCCAUCUCCAUCUCCCUAUAUCAUGUCAACACUCCUUAUUUUUUAAAGAUAGGUCUUGCUGCAUAGGAUUGAAGCCCAAAUUCAACCAUGUUCUUCUUUCCAACUCAUUUCUCUUGACCUCCUCUCCGCUCCGCUUUAUUCUAUAUCAUCUUCGUUUCAGUCGCCAUCAUGACCGUUGCUCACAAGAUGUUUCAGUAACAUUAAAAAGGAAGUGGAAUACAUGUGGAGCGUGAUGAAUUGGAUUGAGAGUGGCACUAAAGAGAGGGAGACAGGAGUAAAGUGAAACAGUGACAAGAUUCAAGGACACAAAACAGUAGAGUAGGUGGUCGGCGACAACAAGAAGCACUGGUUUACAAUAUGCUUCCAUGGACAGAAAUGAGAUGCUCGGUCUGAGAGGAGGUUAUGUUUUAAGAUUUGAGUACAAAUCUCAACCAAACAUGUAAAUAUUAUAUAUUAUU